rnacentral:rRNA from 1 species
GACGAACGCUGGCGGCGUGCUUAACACAUGCAAGUCGAACGGAAAGGCCCUGCUUGUGGGGGGUGCUCGAGUGGCGAACGGGUGAGUAACACGUGAGUAACCUGCCCUUGACUUUGGGAUAACUUCAGGAAACUGGGGCUAAUACCGGAUAGGAGCUCCUGCUGCAUGGUGGGGGUUGGAAAGUUUCGGCGGUUGGGGAUGGACUCGCGGCUUAUCAGCUUGUUGGUGGGGUAGUGGCUUACCAAGGCUUUGACGGGUAGCCGGCCUGAGAGGGUGACCGGCCACAUUGGGACUGAGAUACGGCCCAGACUCCUACGGGAGGCAGCAGUGGGGAAUAUUGCACAAUGGGCGGAAGCCUGAUGCAGCAACGCCGCGUGCGGGAUGACGGCCUUCGGGUUGUAAACCGCUUUCGCCUGUGACGAAGCGUGAGUGACGGUAAUGGGUAAAGAAGCACCGGCUAACUACGUG